UUUAAAAUCAUCAAAACGUAAAACAUUACGUGAUAAACUGAUAGAACAAUUUUCGUGUAUAUGUUACAUUCGAAGGAAGAAAAUCAUGACUAAAAUUAACAAAUUUUUUUAUACUAUGAUCAUAUUUCUUUUUCCAUUUCAUGUUGUGUUCGAAUCUAUUCCGUUCCAACUCUGUAAAGUUGACGUGAAUUGUCCAUGGCAAAAAUGUUCUCCUAGUAAUGUUCCUGUGUGUAUUUUUGGAUUAUGCUACUGCGUUAAUAAUUAUUUUCUUCGUGGCCAUUAAAAUUAAUUGACGCAGCUUUGCAUGUGAGUGAAGUAUCGACAUGUGGUUAUAUGUAUUUUAAUAGUUUUGUUUUUAAACAAAGUUUAAUACAGUAGAAACUUUUUAAAUUAAUACUCGGUAAAUUAAUAAACUCUCUAAAAAAAUAAAUUUGUCCGGUCCCGACUUGGGCCAGUGUAAAAAAUUGAAUAAUUCGAUAAAAUAAUAAGAUAAUAAUUUUUUGGGAGAUCCCUUUAUAAUUUUCGGUCCCAAGAAAAUCAUAAAUUAAUAAUUCAUAGAAACUGAAAAAAAAAUAUAUUACACUUUGUUGAAAUAUGAUUCAAUAGUUGUUUGUUUUCCUUUAAAGUUCAAGUCUGUUUGGAGGUCAUCUCUAACUUUUCUGUUUGGAGCUCAUCUCUAACCAGGGGCGGCCUAGGCCCAUGUGCGACAUGGGCCGUGGCACAAGGUCUCUUAAAAUCGAGGGCCUCAAAAAAAAAUUAUAGGGUAGUAGUAUUAGUAAGUUAGGGGGUGUAAAAAUUAAUUAUGUAUGUUAGAAACUGUUGUAAAGGCCCAACCCAACAAUGUUUUCCUAACAAAAAAAAAAAAAAAGCAGCAAUAGAAGAAGCCAGCUUUUUGCGUUAUGUGUUUUUGCCUUCUUUCUGCGUUCUGCGUUCGCAAGUUCUUUCACUUUCAGAACCUACGAUCUGCCUCCAUUAAUUCACCACCAGGCCGGCGUCGACCUGCCUCCUGCCACCAUCACCAGGCGUCGGUUAACCACUUAACCUCCUUCCUUCUAUUCUCAAAGGUAAAAACUAAAUUUUACAAGUUAGGGUUUCUAAAAUUUGCAAUGUAAAAUCACAAUUUUGCUAUUUUAAUUGUGUUUCUCAAUUCCCAAUUCCCAUCAUUCUUUUUCUCCCAAAGUUGAUUUUGCUAUUCUAGUAAUGAUACCAAUAGUGUUCCCAUAUAAUUAGUUAAUUACCAAUAGCCGUACUGUAGUUAUGCAGUAUAAUUACCAAUAGUGUUAAUUUUGCUACUGAUUUUCUUUUAAUUUCCACUAAUGCUGAAACUAUAGUAGCUUAGCUAUAAUGUUAAUCACAAAUCCUACUCCCAUUCUAUGUAAACAUGUGAUUCCUUCCAGCCGGAGAUUCCUAGUUUCAACAUGAUAAUGUUUUAAUGUUUAUUGUCCUAUUUGGUUUGAUAAUGUGUUGUUCUAUUUGGAUUGUUUUAAUUGCUAAUUACGUUCUUUUUUACCGGUUAUAAAAAAAAGUUACGUUUUUUUUUUUAUUAAAGGCCCACUUUCAUAUUUCGCACAGAGCCCCCGAAAACUCAGGGACGCCACUGUCUCUAACAUUCAUGUAAUUUAUACUAGGGGUAAACC